GCACACCUGUGACGGGAAAAUCAGACAGAUGGGCCUGGGACUGCCCUGGAGCUCUGGGGCACCACCCCCUUCCAGGGAACGGGUCAAGUAUGUCUUUCUCUUGACUGUUUCCUCUAAGAAAAGGCUCUCAGAGCCCUCAUUUUCUAUUUCUUCCUCAGGCCUCAAGCCUGGUCUAUUGGGCAGCACGCCAUAGCCUAUGCCUUGGUCCUGUCAAGACCCAUCUAGAAGCUGCUGGCCUUGCUGGGCUCUUCUCCUUCCUAUUCACUGUCCCCUGUGUGAUCUGAUCCUCGCAGACCCACGUCCUCCUAACACAGCUACAGCUGGCCACCACAGGUCUAAGAACAAGGUUCACUGAGAUUCCUAGAUCGUUCUCAUUCUCUUCACUCUUUCUUGAAGGGAACAGGCACUGUGCAUUAGACCACCCACUAUGUACAGAACAGUGGGACUGGGAAGAGAGUGGGAGGCUCAGGGUGGCGGCUGAGAAGGCAUGGGAGAACUCCCCUCAGGAAUGCUUUGGUCAAAGGCAAACUUCCAUGUGGCCUGGCCUGAGAGAAAGAGGGAGGUUCCAGAGCCUCGGAAGUCUGAGCCAAUCUCCCAGUUUAGGAAUCGCCCUGCACCAGCUCCCUUCCAGCCUGUGCAAGCUUUAUAGGAAGCAACAAGUACCAGGCAAGACUCGGUGUGUAGUUAUUGAAGGCAGAGCCUGCUUGCUGGUAGGUAAUCUCCCCUCAAAAACACCCUUGUAGACAGCAUGAUGUGCAAGUGUGGGCAUGGGCGAGCACUCAGUCACACAUGCCUGGUCCCUUCCCCUGGAACCACUGGGAAGAGCAGCUGGGGAGGAAUUGGGGACACACAGUAUCUAGGGGGAGGAAGAAUAAAAUUGCUGGGCGGACGGCACAGAAACCAAGCCUGUGGUUGUACAAGGAGGGCUGCAAGAGAAAAAGCCUCGUAAGAAAAGAUGGGGUGGGUUAGAGGCAAUCUUUACCCAUGACCCAGGCACAGCCAGCAAAGCCCACCCUUCCUAAAUUGCCAGCUCAGCUUCCAACAUGCCUCAAGUCUCUGUUUCCACCGGCCCUAUCCCGACCCAAAGACCUAUGCAUGUUCUUUCCAGGCACAGCAUUCAGUUCCAGCCCGAGGUAUCUUUCCCAUCUGCAGCUCCAACUCUGUGUCUAACCGCAGGCCCAGAUCCCUCCCUUUCCUUUCCCUCUUCAGGAAGGAAUGUCCUCUGGCUUCAGGGGAGAUCCUGCCACCUAGUGACCGUAGAGUCACAGGUAUCGGGUCAGAAUAUCCCUCAGUUUUCCAGGCAAAUGCUCUGCUCCUACAGAUGCGGAGACUGAAGUUCGGGUAGAGCGAUGGCUAAACCACUAAACUGCGGAUGAUGGGGAUCUAUUCCUGUGCUUUCUCAACCCAGUCACCCCCUCUGACCUCUGCUGGACAGACCCGAGGACAGGGAAGUCCCCUCUAGAGAAGAGGGCUCAGACCUACUGCAGCACAAGACCAAGGGACAGAGAGACCCUCUGCACAAGAAGCUGCCUGCCAACCAGACCCACAACCUCAGCCAACUCCUACCUAUGCAGCCCAACCUAGGCUGCUACUUCCAAUGGGACGCAGGUUUCUCCAAACAGCAAAGCAUGUGGGCUCCAUCUGGACAGGCCUGAGUCACAGGAGAACACCCUGCCCACCCCAGCUACCCUCAGCAAGGUCAGUUUUCCAUCCUAGUGUGUCUCCUACACCCUGCGGCAGGUCGCUGGAGGCCAUACCUCAGGAAUGCCCCCCUACUGGUCUGCAUUAUUGCCAGUGAUAGAGACUGCACCUGGGGAUAGACAGACUGCACCAGCUCCUGGCAGAAUCCUGGUGUCUUUGUCCUUGUAGCCUACAAGAGAACCUUCCUUAAUUCUACCCUAAGGGAGGUACUCACCACUGAUCUGGGAGAAAUACCAUUGUCCAGGCUAUGUUUUAGGGGACAGAGUGAACAGUGGGCUCUAGGCUGAGAGCUAGGAGUGCAGACCUUGGGGAAGCAGGCCCCUCCUUUCUGACCUGCAUCUGUGGCACAGGGCCAUGAGGUCUUGUUCAAAGACUGUGGUGGGUCAAGAUGAAGCUAUGAAUCUAAGGCCUUAGCACAGAAGCUGGGAUAGAGUAAAGGACAGCAUCCACUCCAUCAGGUGCUAUUCCUUUGGGUACUCGUUUCAUUUAAACUUUUUAUCAUUUUGAGCUUUACAUUUUUUUUUUAAAUCAACCUCAAUCUUGCUCUGUGUGUGUCGGUAUGUGGUUAUGUACAUGUGAGGACAUGGAGGCCAGAAGCAUUGGAUCCUCUGGAGCUGGAGUUAGAAGCAGUUGUGAGCCAUCAGACAUGCGUGCUAGGAUGUGAUCUGAGGUCCUCUGUAAGAGCAGGCAGCGCUGUAUCGAUGAAUGCUAAAGCGACUCACACAGGAGACUUCAUGAAGGUUGGAAGACACUGCAAAGUAUGAAGAUGCACUCAGCCGCAAGACACAUGGGUGGAGCACACAAGUACUCCUCCACAGUCAUGGAAUCACAGGGCCACACAAGAAGGGGCUAUGUCCAUUUUAUUCUCCCCCACCAUAAAUUCUAUCAGUGCCCAGCUUGGAACGGACACACACCAGGUGUUCAGCAACACAUCUGGAGGCACAUUCAUGCUUGCAAGUGUGCAUAUGCAUGACUGGGUCCACACACAGGUUCAUGAGCUGAUGUAAAUCUCCACCAAGGAGGCACAGGUGCACACAGACAUGGACUGUCACACCCAUCACUCUAAAACAAACUCGGAUUGGAACAAAACCUGGCACCUUGGGUACAGGAGGAAGCAGAAGUCACAUGAAUCCCCCAGCGCUCAGCCCUGUCAUCAUCCCCUCCCACCUCAGCAGCUGAGAGUAGGACUCAGAGGGUGUCAUAGAUCAGGGCUCUUGCCAUCCACCUGGGCCUAUCCCAGAUGUGGAGCUGCAGAGAAGAACCCCAGCAGAGCCCAUCUGUGCCCCUCCUAGGCAUCAAACCCCUUGAAUAAGGCAAUUUGAAAGUGUAAUCUAACUCUGCCUCAUCUCUCUCUCGCAAUCUCGUUUUCUCAGAAGUAACUAUUCCGCACAGGCCCGCCCGCACAGCCUGCGAGGCGGCUUCCAUUUCACACUGGUUUUAUCUCCACAAUUUCUCGUCUCAGUGCACUUCUAUCCCAGGCCCCGCCACGUGGCAGGUGAGGCCAGAGCUAAUAGCAUUUCCUACUCAUUUGGAAUCAAAAGCCAAGAGGAACAACUGUUGGAACGCAUGGCCAUGGUCACCCAGUCC